rnacentral:rRNA from 1 species
AGAGUUUGAUCCUGGCUCAGGAUGAACGCUAGCGGCAGGCUUAACACAUGCAAGUCGAGGGGCAUCGGGAGGGAAGCUUGCUUUCCUUGCCGGCGACCGGCGCACGGGUGAGUAACACGUAUGCAACCUGCCCUCUUCAGGGGGACAACCUUCCGAAAGGGAGGCUAAUCCCGCGUAUAUCGGUUUCGGGCAUCCGAGAUCGAGGAAAGAUUCAUCGGAAGAGGAUGGGCAUGCGGCGCAUUAGCUAGACGGCGGGGUAACGGCCCACCGUGGCGACGAUGCGUAGGGGUUCUGAGAGGAAGGUCCCCCACACUGGUACUGAGACACGGACCAGACUCCUACGGGAGGCAGCAGUGAGGAAUAUUGGUCAAUGGGAGAGAUCCUGAACCAGCCAAGCCGCGUGAGGGAAGACGGCCCUAUGGGUUGUAAACUUCUUUUGUCGGAGAACAAAACCCGGGACGAGUCCCGGACUGCGUGUAUCCGAAGAAAAAGCAUCGGCUAACUCCGUGCCAGCAGCCGCGGUAAUACGGAGGAUGCGAGCGUUAUCCGGAUUUAUUGGGUUUAAAGGGUGCGUAGGCGGUCCGUUAAGUCAGCGGUAAAAUUGCGGGGCUCAACCCCGUCGAGCCGUUGAAACUGGCAGACUUGAGUUGGCGAGAAGUACGCGGAAUGCGCGGUGUAGCGGUGAAAUGCAUAGAUAUCGCGCAGAACUCCGAUUGCGAAGGCAGCGUACCGGCGCCAGACUGACGCUGAGGCACGAAAGCGUGGGGAUCGAACAGGAUUAGAUACCCUGGUAGUCCACGCAGUAAACGAUGA